GCAGGGUUUUCAGCUUUGUAGAGAGGAACUUGAUGGCUCGCUCUCUCACAAUAUCCUCUCCCUGAAGAAUUUGACUGAAUAAGCCACCCAAAGUCCCUGAAUGGAGAAUAAAUAAGAAACAUCUUCAUCCUCACAGAGGUCCAACUGAGCAUUGAUAGCCGAGUCAGCUAGCUCAGGAAAAUGCUUGAAGAACUUAGGAAUAAACUGGGCUGCGAGUCUCUUCUCCUUGGCACCUCCCUUCACGCCAUCCAAGAUCACCUGGUACGCAUCCUUAUGCUGGAAGGGGAGAAACAGAACACAAUUAGAGAAAUCUUGGCUUAUUCUCAAGACAAGGAUUUUUUUUCUCUCCCAUUCACUAUUCAGCUAUGUAAGUCAGCUAUAUUACACAAGCUUCAUACAAAGAAAUACAUUUAUCUCUUAGACCACUAUAACUGUGCCAUUUACUAAAAUUUACCUCUGUUGUCUGGUUUUCACUGUUA